rnacentral:rRNA from 1 species
CCUACGGGAGGCAGCAGUGAGGAAUAUUGGUCAAUGGACGAGAGUCUGAACCAGCCAAGUAGCGUGAAGGAUGACUGCCCUAUGGGUUGUAAACUUCUUUUAUAUGGGAAUAAAAUGUUCCACGUGUGGGAUUUUGUAUGUACCAUAUGAAUAAGGAUCGGCUAACUCCGUGCCAGCAGCCGCGGUAAUACGGAGGAUCCGAGCGUUAUCCGGAUUUAUUGGGUUUAAAGGGAGCGUAGGUGGAUUGUUAAGUCAGUUGUGAAAGUUUGCGGCUCAACCGUAAAAUUGCAGUUGAAACUGGCAGUCUUGAGUACAGUAGAGGUGGGCGGAAUUCGUGGUGUAGCGGUGAAAUGCUUAGAUAUCACGAAGAACUCCGAUUGCGAAGGCAGUUCACUGGACUGCAACUGACACUGAGGCUCGAAAGUGUGGGUAUCAAACAGGAUUAGAUACCCGAGUAGUG